GCUCGGGUGGUGGAAUUGGUAGACACACACGUUUGAGGGGCGUGUGCCGAAAGGCGUGCGGGUUCGAGUCCCGCCUCGAGCACGA
rnacentral:tRNA from 1 species